GCCGCUAUAGCUCAGUGGUAGAGCACUGGUCUCGUAAACCAGGGGUCGUGAGUUAAAACCUCACUGGUGGCA
rnacentral:tRNA from 1 species